UUGUUUUCGUCUCUUCAGUAAGUAGAGCAGAGGAGAGGACCAUAGAUAUAGUAGAGAGGACACAUCAGGUGCAACGGUAUGAAAACAUAAAGCAAACUACAAGGAUGCUUUAAACGACAGGCGUUGCUGGCUUGUUUACUUAUAGAAUUUAUGUUCAAUAAUUCAUUUGCUGUUUGGCAAAUGUUAGCUGACAAUAGCCUUGUGAAGUUGGAAGCCGCUAGUUAAGAAGUAAGCGACCCAGCUUCUCAACACAAAGGGAAGGAAGAAGAAGAAUAAGCCAAGAAGGCCGUCGUCCUAAUUAAAGUACAUUUAGCUAGGAAGCAAAUGAUGUUACCAAGGAUAUUCAGAAAUGUGCUGAAUGCAUCAAAAUACUAACUACACUACUAAGGGCUUAUGUGGAUGGCUGGAUUUGGUUAUACUUAACCAUUUGCAAAGGGAUUCUCAGGGACUUGCUCAUCUCUUGGUUGGUUCUUUUGGAAAAGGAAAUGUAAAUGUCAGAUGGGGUAAACUACUUUGAAAGCAGUAAUGAAAAGGUUUUAACUGUAUACUAGAAAUAUGGAUGGACUAGAAUGGAACCUUUGGCACUGACAACGAAAAUGGAGAUUGGGAAGAAUCCUAAGAUUUAUGGAACGAAGUGUUGAUUGAAGAUUGUAAAGCAUUACAGAUGAGGAAAACAUGUAGGUAUGUGAUGUCAACGGGCUGAAAAAUAGAUAUAUCCCAGGAAAUCAUGGAAAAAAAGGAGUAUAUGAAGACCAGAUCACUUGGGACUUUGGGUAGAAAGUGCACAGGACAGAGAUGAGUGGAGUCAACUCAUAUCAUGUCUUGCUUUGAUGAAGGAUGAAGCUGAUGGAGAAAAAAACAUUUAUGCCAUCACUUUAGUACUAGAUGCUCAGCCUGUUAUGCUUAUUAGGAAAACUUACAUUCAGUUUUGCUGACCACCAGUUUUGUUUUCUGUUGUAGACUAUUGUAUGCAGUAUCUGUACAGUGGUAUAAAAGAAGCAAGAAGCGCAACCAUGUAAAUGGCGAAAGAAGAAAAUGGUUAAAGGAAAAAAGAGACGAUAAUUCAGUUACUGAUGGUAAAUUAGUCACUAAAAAUUGUGGGGAUGAAUAACAUAAAUUUAUAUUUCAUUUCAUUUUGCCAGUAUUAUUUUAAGUCCCUUUGUAAAAACAAAAUUGGAAAAUAAAAGAAACAGGUAAAGCCAUUUGUAAUUUGGUUUAUGAGGGAGAUAGGAAGAGAUUUUAAAAAUGCUUGGUGGAAGUUUUAAAGUUAGUAAGAGUAGUUCAGUGCAAUAGCCACAUACUUUUGCAAUUGCAAUGAUAAAAUAAACCUUAAGGAGAGUAAACUUUUAUGUAAAAGCAAUAUUUGGAAGGCCCGCAGGUUUGUGGGAGUGUGUCCCCAUUAUUUCCACACCAACAGUGACUGGAAACAAAUCUUUUAAUGCUUUAGAUGAGGUAAAUUCCAUCCAUGUUUAUAAAGAAACUAAGUUCUCCAGGCUUUUCAGCAAAGCUAAUUUAUGUACAUGUAAAUCGAGGAAAAGCUGGUACAUCAUAGCUGCUUCAGUAUUCAGAGGAGGAUUUAGUAUACCAGCUUCAGUUCACUUAAUUCUUGGAGUGCAGUGUUGAUGCCUAGGGAUUUCCUGGUCCCAGUUACAGACAUGUUGGUGGAUCUUAGUAUUGGCAACAUAGACCAGUGGUGGUGAGAGAUCUGCUUGUUCUUCCUGACCCAGAAAUUCUGAUACUUUCCAACACGUGGACUUUUGGCUUGGGUGCCCAUCUGGGCCCUCAAGUACAGGGUACUAGGCCAUUUAUCUAGGCCUUCAAACUUAACAACAUAGGAAGGAUAUGCAGUCAUGUUUUCCUGCUUGAAGAACUAGGUAAGCACUCACUCAGAGUUGCUAUGCUGGUUGGAUGUGGAAAUGUUCAUGUAACCAGAUUCAUUCCAGGGGCCUGGAACAUUAGUUGUUGAUGCCUUGAUCGAGAGGUUCUAACUUCUACCUUCAGAAUGUUUGAUUAUUAUUGUUUCCCGACCCCUGGCAUGUAGGGAACUCCCCAUAAUUUGAUUGCCCCAUCCUUGAACUGCUGCUGUAUUUUUCUUAAUCAGAUAUAGCAACCUUUAAGAUGGAAGUAAUGAUACUUAUGGGACAACUGGGAUGUCUACAUAUUUCCCCCUUCAGCCUAGUCAAGGAUGUCAUAGUGAAGAUGCAUACAUUGUUGAACACCAGGAUGGUCCUCAUUUCUCCACUUUAUCCCCAGCAGGAGUGGUUUUCUUACCUUCUGGGUAUUUACAAGCCUAGGUUGACUGGAGUUGCUGCAGGCUCUUGGCCUUUUAAGCAUGAUAUGUAACCUGUUGCAAAGACUUAUAAGUACACAAGGCCUGUUGUACUCUGUAUAGUAAAAACAAUGGCAUUGACAAGGAAAAUAAUGUUAUGGGAAAGGUGUGACCAGAUAAUGUCAAAAUCUAUGGACAACGACAAACAGCAGAUAUGGUGUCCAGAGGCUGGAAAAAAAUAAUGAAAGCUCAGUGAUUGAGAUGGUUUGGAUGCACUGUAAUGGAUGAGGAAUAGUUGGACAGAAAAACAGUAGAUAUGGAAGUAGCAGGACGAAAACAUGUAGGCAGGCCCAGAAAAUCAUUGAGAAAGUAGGUAAAUGAAGACCAAAGAGAUCAGGCAAAAAGUACUCAAGACCAACAACGUUGGAGAUAACUCAUGUCACAUUUAAACAUUUAACCCCAUGAAUGGAGAUAACUCAUUUUACAUUUAACCCCAUGAAAGGAAAACCAACAAGAAAAUUUUGUUGAUGCUUGUAGCUUGCCAAUCUACCUCCCUCAGAUUCUUUUGAGAAAUAUAAUUUUAAACACUUGGAUACAAUAUUGUAGGGCCCAAUUGUUGUGGCAGGUCAUGUGUCAGAAGUGGGUAAAGAACAGGCGACUUCAGUUACCAUUAACAGCUUCAAAAAUUUCUUUUACUCAUAUACUGUUCUGUUAUGAGGGGUGGCUGUUUGGGCCUAACUUUGGUGUGUCCUGUUGCUGGUGAGCACACUGUCACAUUUAUACUUGCUACUUAUUGGAUACUACCAGUAUUUUGCUUGCUCAUCUAUAUUCCUGAGCAUUGACUUUUUUCCCUUCUGUCCAGUAGUACUGCUAUUUUUGUGGAUGCACCAGUGGGAUUGUGGAACCUUUCUCAUUCAGGUCCUUCCACCUGAAUGGCUAUUCGGGCAAAAUAUAUUAAAUGGGGUUGUUAUGUAACAAAAAAUUUUUAGAACUCAAAAAAUGCUUUUCCAUACAAACCCACUAAUCACAGUGCCCUCUUCCCUUCCAUUCCCUGCAGUCUGGCUGAUAUCUAGGCACACAGAUGGGGAGAUUAAGGCAAUGUCAUAUGCAGGAUUGGGUAUGUGCAGUAGGGGCCAGUCAGUCUUGACUUGUAUGACCAGGCAUUACAAGGUAUUUUUUCCAUUGGAGAAGGCAAUAGAUUUCAUGAGCGUAUUUGAAAAAAACCUGAAUACUAAAUACAAUGUAAUUUUUAAAGUUUGAAAUAAUUUACUCCCAUGAGAAUUUGUAGCUAAUGGCCUAAAGUUUUCAAUUACCAGUAGCUGGAAAAUUAAUUUACUUAUGGUCAAUCAGUAGCUGGAAAAUUAAUCUACUUGUGGUCAAUCAUCCUACUUAAUUGGGUUUGCUUAACAGUUCUACGUUGAAUAAGCUAAGCAUAAACAUUAUUAUUGAAUAGAAAUGAACACAUAAUUUGUAAUCUUAUUUGAAUAAUAAGUAUGUUAAUGUUAUAUGUUAAAGCUUGCAUCAACACAUAGGUUAAUUUACCUUUACUUGGAAAUAUGUCUCUUUCUGCCUAUAACAUUGUUGUAAAUUAAAUUGCAAAUUGCAUACAAAAUGGUAUGUACAACUGCAUAUAGUACUUUAUAUGCAUUUGUAGAAUUUUAUCCAAGGUUUUCAUCGUAGCCUAUUACAAUGUGGCUUAUUACCAUGUAGAGUAAUUCAAUUCUAGUAGUAAAACCAUUCUUCAUUAACUCAGUUUGGUUUUUUAACUUAAUGUAGUGGUUUGCUACAAGAGCCAUUGCUCUAGAGUCUAAGGCAGACUCAUUCAUGCCUUCUUAUAUCUGUAUGGUCAGAGUGGGCUUCACAUUAUUUUUUCUCAAACCUAUAGUAGUAGUAGUAGUAACAACAAUGACUAUCAAAAGGUAUGUGAGAUUAUUUUAAUGAAUACCACCCUUUUAACAUUAUUGCAGUCCAUAAGCUUUCAUGUUUAUGAUACUCUUCAAAAUAUUGGUCAUUUUCAAAAGUAUGUAGGAAAAAUUAAAUGAUGUACUGUAUUUACUGAAUU